rnacentral:lncRNA from 1 species
CCAGCUUCAAAUCCCUUUCCAGCCCCAUCUGGCCUGCAUGCUCACCAUCACUGAGACCCUCACCUGAGCCUGUGGGCCAUUCUCCAUCUGCAUCCUGUUCUCUGGCUGCAGCCAGCCAUUGUUUUGAGUUGGAAGGUGAGUCAGAAGCCAGCUAGAUGGACAUUGCUAGAAGAGGAAUUCUCCUCUGUUUUGACAAAAGUUUUUUACUGGCUAGGGAUUCCUAGAGGA